rnacentral:rRNA from 1 species
CCUACGGGAGGCAGCAGGCUAGAAAAUUGGGCAAUGGGGGAAACCCUGACCCAGUGACGCCGCGUGCAGGAAGAAGCCCUUCGGGGUGUAAACUGCUGUCGUGCGGGGCGAAGGGUCCAUAGGCGAAUAGCUUAUGGGCUUGACGGUACCGCAGGAGGAAGCCCAGGCUAACCUCGUGCCAGCAGCCGCGGUAAUACGGGGUGGGCGAGCGUUGCCCGGAAUUACUGGGCGUAAAGCGGGUGUAGGCGGCUCGGUAAGUCGGGUGUGAAAUCCCACAGCUCAACUGUGGAAUUGCGCCCGAAACUGCUGAGCUUGGGGCCGGUAGAGGGAGACGGAACUGCCGGUGUAGGGGUGAAAUCCGUAGAUAUCGGCAGGAACGCCGGUGGGGAAGCCGGUCUCCUGGGCCGCGCCCGACGCUGAGACCCGAAAGCUAGGGGAGCAAACC